GACGAACGCUGGCGGCGUGCCUAAUACAUGCAAGUUGAGCGCUGAAGGUUGGUACUUGUACCGACUGGAUGAGCAGCGAACGGGUGAGUAACGCGUGGGGAAUCUGCCUUUGAGCGGGGGACAACAUUUGGAAACGAAUGCUAAUACCGCAUAAAAACUUUAAACACAAGUUUUAAGUUUGAAAGAUGCAAUUGCAUCACUCAAAGAUGAUCCCGCGUUGUAUUAGCUAGUUGGUGAGGUAAAGGCUCACCAAGGCGAUGAUACAUAGCCGACCUGAGAGGGCGAUCGGCCACAUUGGGACUGAGACACGGCCCAAACUCCUACGGGAGGCAGCAGUAGGGAAUCUUCGGCAAUGGACGAAAGUCUGACCGAGCAACGCCGCGUGAGUGAAGAAGGUUUUCGGAUCGUAAAACUCUGUUGGUAGAGAAGAACGUUGGUGAGAGUGGAAAGCUCAUCAAGUGACGGUAACUACCCAGAAAGGGACGGCUAACUACGUG
rnacentral:rRNA from 1 species